rnacentral:rRNA from 1 species
AUUGAACGCUGGCGGCAUGCUUUACACAUGCAAGUCGAACGGUAACAGGGUGCUUGCACCGCUGACGAGUGGCGAACGGGUGAGUAAUGCGUCGGAACGUGCCGAGUAGUGGGGGAUAACGCAGCGAAAGUUGUGCUAAUACCGCAUACGUACUGAGGUAGAAAGUGGGGGACCUUCGGGCCUCACGCUAUUCGAGCGGCCGACGUCUGAUUAGCUAGUAGGUGAGGUAAAGGCUCACCUAGGCGACGAUCAGUAGCGGGUCUGAGAGGAUGAUCCGCCACACUGGGACUAAGACACGGCCCAGACUCCUACGGGAGGCAGCAGUGGGGAAUUUUGGACAAUGGGCGAAAGCCUGAUCCAGCCAUGCCGCGUGUCUGAAGAAGGCCUUCGGGUUGUAAGGACUUUUGUCAGGGAGGAAAUCCCUAGUGCUAAUAACACUGGGGGAUGACAGUACCUGAAGAAUAAGCACCGGCUAACUACGUGCCAGCCGCCGCAGUAAUAC